rnacentral:rRNA from 1 species
UACAGAGGGUGCAAGCGUUAAUCGGAAUUACUGGGCGUAAAGCGUGCGCAGGCGGUUGUGCAAGACAGAUGUGAAAUCCCCGGGCUCAACCUGGGAACUGCAUUUGUGACUGCACGGCUAGAGUGUGUCAGAGGGGGGUAGAAUUCCACGUGUAGCAGUGAAAUGCGUAGAUAUGUGGAGGAAUACCGAUGGCGAAGGCAGCCCCCUGGGAUGACACUGACGCUCAUGCACGAAAGCGUGGGGAGCAAAC